rnacentral:tRNA from 1 species
UGACAUAUAGUAUAAUGGUUAGUACACGUCAGUACGGAUGAUGUUAUGAAAGUUCGAAUCUUUCUAUGUUGA